rnacentral:rRNA from 1 species
CAGUCGCCGCGGUAAUACAGAGGAUGCAAGCGUUAUCCGGAAUGAUUGGGCGUAAAGCGUCUGUAGGUGGCUUUUCAAGUCCGCCGUCAAAUCCCAGGGCUCAACCCUGGACAGGCGGUGGAAACUACCAAGCUGGAGUACAGUAGGGGCAGAGUGAAUUUCCGGUGGAGCGAUGAAAUGCGUUGAGAUCAGAAAGAACACCAACGGCGAAAGCACUCUGCUGGGCCGACACUGACACUAAGAGACGAAAGCUAGGGGAGCAAAUGGGAUUAGAUACCCCCGUAGUCCCUGUCUCUUAUAC